UGACACAGGGAGGUAGUGACAAUAAAUAACAAUGCCGUGCCCUUUUGGGUAUGGCUUUUGGAAUGAGAGAAACACAGAAUCCACAUCGAGGAUCAAUUGGAGGGCAAGUCUGGUGCCAGCAGCCGCGGUAAUUCCAGCUCCAAUAGCGUAUAUUAAAGUUGCUGCAGUUAAAAAGCUCGUAGUUGCAUUUCCGAGGCAAGGGAUUAGUCCGACCUUUGGUGGGUAUUUAAUCCUCUUGCCUCGUCCUUGAGUGGUGCUUCUUGGUAUUAAGUUAUCGAGGAGAUAGCCGCUCAUCGUUUACUGUGAGAAAAUUAGAGUGUUCAAAGCAGGCUUAUGCCGUUGAAUAUAUUAGCAUGGAAUAAUAAGAUAGGACUAUGGUACUAUUUUGUUGGUUUGUGCACCAUGGUAAUGAUUAAUAGGGACAGUUGGGGGUAUUCGUAUUCCAUUGUCAGAGGUGAAAUUCUUGGAUUUAUGGAAGACGAACUACUGCGAAAGCAUUUACCAAGGAUGUUUUCAUUAAUCAAGAACGAAAGUUAAGGGAUCGAAGAUGAUUAGAUACCAUCGUAGUCUUAACCAUAAACUAUGCCAACUAGGGAUCGGCAGUUGUUCACAUAACACUGUCGGCACCUUAUGAGAAAUCAAAGUCUUUGGGUUCCGGGGGGAGUAUGGUCGCAAGUCUGAAACUUAAAGAAAUUGACGGAAGGGCACCACCAGGAGUGGAGCCUG
rnacentral:rRNA from 1 species